AUGCAUGUCUAAGUACACAUUUUAAUAAAAUGAAACUGCGAAUGGCUCAUUAAAUCAGCUACGGUUCCUUUGAUAAUCACUUACAGUUACUUGGAUAACUGUGGUAAUUCUAGAGCUAAUACAUGCAACAAUGCCCAACCCUCACGGGAAGGGUGCACUUAUUAGAUCAAGACCAACCGGGUUUCGGCCCGAAGUUUUGAUGACUCUGGAUAAUUGUUUCGAUCGCACGGCCUUUGUGUCGGCGACGUUUCUUUCAAAUGUCUGCCCUAUCAACUAUAUGAUGGUAGAUAAAUUGUCUACCAUGGUGAUAACGGGUAACGGGGAAUCAGGGUUCGAUUCCGGAGAGGGAGCCUGAGAAACAGCUACCACAUCCAAGGAAGGCAGCAGGCCCGCAAAUUACCCACUCUCAAAACGAGGAGGUAGUGACAAUAAAUAACGAUGCGGGACUCAAUCGAGGCCCCGUAAUCGGAAUGAGUACACUUUAAAUCCUUUAACGAGGAUCAAUUGGAGGGCAAGUCUGGUGCCAGCAGCCGCGUAAUUCCAGCUCCAAUAGCGUAUAUUAAAGUUGUUGCAGUUAAAAAGCUCGUAGUUGGAUCUAAGGAUUUGGACGGAUGGUACGCUUUAGGGUGUCACUGUCUGUCUGGCCUAUAUUAGUCGUGGAAGCCUUUAGUGCUCUUCAUUGAGUGCUUUGGGUGCCCGACGCAAUUACUUUGAGAAAAUUAGAGUGCUUAAAGCAGGCAUAAUGCUGUAUACUGUUGCAUGGAAUAAUGAAAUAGGAGUUUGCUUCUAUUUCGUUGGUUUUCGGAAGUGAACUAAUGAUUAACGGGGACAGACGGGGGCAUUUGUAUGGAGGCGAUAGAGGUGAAAUUCUGUGACCGUCUCCAGACAAACUACUGCGAAAGCAUUUGCCAAGAAUGUUUUCAUUAAUCAAGAACGAAAGUCAGAGGUUCGAAGACGAUCAGAUACCGUCCUAGUUCUGACCAUAAAUGAUGCCAUCUAGUAAUUCCCGAAGUUUGCUUGUACGAACUUGGGAGCGGCCCCCGCGAAAGCAAAGAUUUUGGGUUCCGGGGGAAGUAUGGUUGCAAAGCUGAAACUUAAAGGAAUUGACGGAAGGGCACCACCAGGAGUGAAGCCUGCGCUUAAUUUGACUCAACACGGGAAACCUCACCCGGCCCGGACACUGUAAUGAUUGACAGAUUAACAGCUCUUUCUUGAUUUGGUGGUUGGUGGUGCAUGGCCGUUCUUAGUUGGUGGAGUGAUUUGUCUGGUUAAUUCCGAUAACGAACGAGACUCUACCCUGCUAAAUAGUACGCAGAUAAUAAUUCUGUCUGUGCUGACUUCUUAGAGGGACUAACGGCGUUUAGCCGUGUGAGAAAGAGCAAUAACAGGUCUGUGAUGCCCUUAGAUGUUCGGGGCGCACGCGCGCUACACUAAUUACAGCAACGGGUAUGCUCCUGGUUAGAAAUGACUGGGUAACCCGAUUGAAUCGUAAUUGUGACAGGGAUCGAGGUUUGCAAUUAUCUCUCGUGAACGAGGAAUUCCCAGUAAGCGCAAGUCAUUAGCUUGUGCUGAUUACGUCCCUGCCCUUUGUACACACCGCCCGUCGCUACUACCGAUUGAACGGUUUAGUGAGGUCCUUGGAUUGA
rnacentral:rRNA from 1 species